UGGGGAAUAUUGCACAAUGGGGGAAACCCUGAUGCAGCGACGCCGCGUGAGCGAUGAAGGCUUUCGAGUCGUAAAGCUCUGUCCUAUGGGAAGAUAAUGACGGUACCAUAGAAGAAAGCCCCGGCUAAUUACGUGCCAGCAGCCGCGGUAAUACGUAAGGGGCGAGCGUUGUCCGGAAUUAUUGGGCGUAAAGAGUGCGUAGGCGGCAAAUUAAGUCGGAUGUGAAAACUAAGGGCUCAACCCAUAGAUUGCAUCUGAAACUGAUAUGCUUGAGUCAAGGAGAGGAAAGUGGAAUUCCUAGUGUAGCGGUGGAAUGCGUAGAUAUUAGGAGGAAUACCGGUGGCGAAGGCGACUUUCUGGACUUGAACUGACGCUGAGGCACGAAAGCGUGGGGAGCAAACAGG
rnacentral:rRNA from 1 species